GUUAAAAAUGCAAAAAACCCACACAUGUGUUUUGUUACAGUGUGCGAUGCUGAGAUGUGAGGCAAAUAAGUUGCAUCAUUUGGGUCAGGGGAACAAGGCAGCUCCUUCACAGAGGGGAAAUAAGUAGGUCAUUGUGGAUUCCUCUCAUUGGCGCAGCUCUUUCCAAAUAGUUGCAUCUUUCCAGUCGACUUCCAGCUGCGAGUUAACUCUGAGCCUCCAUGCACCGUUCAUAUGAACAAGGAUGCCUUAAUGUGCUCAUUUACUGCUUUGAGAAUUAGAAGGGGAUCUUUGAUUUCAAACAUGCAGCUCGGUGCAGUCAGCCAAGGAAUGCUCCAGGCAAAGCUGGAGGAAGCGUGCUUGGGUCCGACUGACCCGCUUGAGGAGCGACAGUAAGGCCACAGUCUGUUCACACUCGUUCCAUCCCUUAAACCAGCCGGCGAGGACUCCCACCUGGUCACGAAACAUCAUGAUCUGUUGGCCAGGCUCACGAUACAAGACUUGACAAGAGAAAAGACUGAGGCUUAUCCAACAAAAUUGCACUCGCUUCCACUGUCACUUGAGGUUUGGCAAAGAAGAACAGCCCUUUAAGGUGUUAUUUGCUAUUAGUAGGUACCAAUGUAUUGCAUCUUUCUUCUUGGGUUUUGGAGUUGCACCUGGUGUGGGGGAAUCCCUGUACGAAGCUUUUGAGAUUGAUGUUUAGUUGGUGCUCUUCAAGUCCUCUGGCCACUUACAAAAUGUUCCUCAGCUUUCUUCCAGCAUACAGUGACUGUCCAGCUUUAGCCUUGAUGGCAUUUUCAAUAGAGAACAUCCCUUUUCUGUGAAAGGAAAGGAUGGAGAUUGUAUAAAUACAUACACAAUGAGUAGCCCCACACAGAAUUUCAGUAUUUACAAUAAGUUUAGUAAAAUUAUCCAGAUUAUUUAUGUAGAACUCAAUUUGUAAAGUAAUAUUUUCUGUAUUUUACUGGAUGGGUUAUAUGAGAGAUUUACUGUAGGUUUUGUUCAUCAAACAAGUAGAUCUAAUUGGAUUUGCAUUGUAAACCUUAAAUACAAGUAAAGAAGAUACUUAUUUACUUCAUGUGUUAAGUUUUCAACUUCUGUACUCUCAAUAAAAUUUCAUUGAAAAUCUGCUGACUGUGCAAAGAAACAGCAUAAAAGGUCCACUGCAGCUUUUAAGUCAAACCCAGUUGGAAAAAAUGUAUUUUAAAGCUGGCAAUUGGGUUUUAGAAGCUAGUUUAUGGCCCAAGCUGGUCAAAUAGCUGUUCAACCAGAUCCAAAAAAAA